UACGGAGGGUGCGAGCGUUGUCCGGAAUCACUGGGCGUAAAGGGCGCGUAGGCGGCAUGCCAAGCGUGUGGUGAAAGCCCGGGGCUCAACCCCGGGUCGGCCGUGCGGACUGGCGUGCUCGAGCACUGUAGGGGCGGGUGGAAUUCCGGGCGUAGCGGUGGAAUGCGUAGAGAUCCGGAAGAACACCGGUGGCGAAGGCGGCCCGCUGGGCAGGAAGGCUCGCAAGAGCCGGCUGACGCUGAGGCGCGACAGCGUGGGGAGCAAACAGG
rnacentral:rRNA from 1 species